CCAGCCUGGUGUUGUUUUGUUUUUUUCUUUGCUCCCAUCGAGCUGAGCGGAGCCAAGCAUGAAAGUGACUUCCUCGCUCAUCUCUUACAGCCCGCAGCGUUCUGUCCAAUCCCUUCAUCGCCAUGAUCGACUUGAGGGUCACGACUCACUUCCUCCUGGAAACUCACCAUUACUGAGAGGAGACUAGAAAUGGAUGGUUGCUGGGAACUCUGCAGCUGCAGGCGGAAGUGGUGUUUGGUCUGUCAUGGAGGUCCACCUUUAAACAACAGUGGGUGAUUAACUCCUGCGGCUCCAGCUGCUCUACUCAAGGUGCUGGUUUGGCAGUGAAAUGGAGAUGAAAAGGGCCCCUGUGCGGGUUGUAUCUUCUCCUCUCUUGUCAGUACUGUAUAUCCGUGUGCGACCGGCUCCGUUGGGUCCCAGCGUAGGGCCGCUGUUGGCCACGCCCACCCAGGGCCAGUUCCAGCCAAUCAGGUGUUAAUGUGCAGGAACAGGAGAGGUCUGCGCUGACAGAUGGCAGACUGACCUGGAAAACCUGCCCCCUUUUCAGGGUUCAGCAGUCGACAGAUGACAGCCAUAUCAUCCCCGGGGGCUGACUGGACUGGCUGACCAUGUGCUGCGUUCAGAUGUGUCCUGCUACUCUAAACCCCGUUGUAAUCCCACGUUCAGCCAGCAUGAGCCUUAAUUGAAAUAAUCCCCGCCGACGAGCGAGGCUGUGCCGCGCAGACCUGCAGCCCGAGCCAGUUUCGUGAUGGGUCCAGUUUAACCCACUGUGUGACUCUGACCUUUCCCUCAGUGCUCGCUGGGACCAUCUGAACCCGGCCCAGUAAGGACAUCUGGUCAGAUACUGGGGAGGUUGUUUGAUCCGCCUGGCUGCUCCCAGAGGCUUUUCAGACCCUCAUAGACUUACAGUAGGACACUGAUGUCUGCUGGAGAGGCACAUGACAGCAGCACAGUUUCAUAUCAUGAUUAUCCUCACUGUACACUUCAGCUGUGUUUUGUUUAAUGUUUUUUGCGAACGUAUACGUUGCACCAGUUUGUGUAGCAACUUUUCCCUUUUCUGCACGUUUGUUUUGAAGAAUGAACCUAUAUAUUCAACAUACUUCUGAUUGUUUGUAAGCAAAAUAUACAAAGACAUAUAGUAAUCAGAGUGUGUAAACAGAAAAUGGAUGCUUGGCACAGUUUAAUAUAAACACACUGUAAAUAAAAUCCCACAUAAAUUCAUACGGAGGAAGGAAAGGAAAAGCGAUGGCAUUUGGAUAUUACAUUUGAUGUACGUAGAAUUGAAUUGCGUAUUCGUAAAAGGGAUAAAUUCGUUUUAAGCGACGAAAUGUCUUCAGCUACAAAAAAAACCAAACAAGACGGAAUCAUAACAGUGAGACGACACAAGGGUAAAACAAGUAAAGCCUCCGUGAUGUUAAACAUACCCACAGUGUUUGAACAGCACUGUUUAUAAUGCAUUACCUCUGAAUUAUUGUCUGCUCUGUGUAUACCUCACAAAUGAACGCGUCUCUCCCUCUGUAUUUAGUUAUUCUGCGUCUGAAUGGGUUCAUCUCUGCCUCUUUUUUUCCUGCCACUGUAUCUAAAACAGAGCAUUAACAUCUGCAGCCCAUUUAGUGCUGCUGACACCAGGCUAAUAACAGUGUGUGUGUGUGUGUGUGUUUGUGUGUAUGUGUGGCUUAAGUGCCAGCCAACAAGCACAGCUGAAAGGUGUCACCAAGGCUCCUACGCCUCCUCUAACAGUUCCUGAUUCAGGGGGCGCUUGUUUUCUAUUCCUCUUUCUUUCUUUCUUCCUUCUUUUUCUGUCUUUUAAUUGUGCUAAAGCAGCUGGCUGUAAAGGGACAUUCACCACAAACGCUUUAUAUUUAACAUCCGGGCUGAUUCUAUGGCUGUAAUGGCUGAGUAAGCAAAUGCCUCACAGGUUAAACAGCGCCAGCACCAGAGGGAUCUGUAGGUAAAAUAGGGUUGUGUGCAGAUGGAGAACACGACGUGCAACGCAGUGACCGCACCUCUCACUUCUUCAUCUUAUUCUUCUUCCGCCCUCCCUUUGUCUGAAUUGUUAUUUGUCCGUUUGAAAUUAUUGAUCUUUUACAAAUAUUUUUCAAGGUAUCUUAAUUACUUGCAAAAGAAGCGGUGCUGCCUUGGCGGCUGGACAACACAAAUAAGUUAAUUUGCAUUUCUGUGUUGAGAGUGUUUUGGCAGGCGCCGCGCCGGUCCAGAUUGUAACCCCUAUUUCUGCCUCCAAAAACCUGCCUUGGAGGAGCGUCCACGGAGGGAUUAGGGAUUUAGUGGGG